CGUAGGUGAUGAAGAGGAGGCUGGGGCCUGAGACAGAGAGGGGAGGACGUGGUGGCAGAGACCUGCCCUGCAAGGCAGUCUCGGGGGACACGCGGCCACCGCAACAAUGACAAUUCCUGUCGCAAGAGCUUCCUGUGACGCCGGCCUGGACAGGGCCAGGGUUGCUCUGUUUCUGAAGUCUUGUAGUAUUUAGCUCUUUCUUUAGCUCCAGAAUAGUUGGAAAUGUUAAACGGGUUUUAGAAGAAUCAUAAAGGCCUUGGAAUAAAGACUUCCAGCUAUUUUGAUGUCCCUUUUUAAAAAAAUUACAGCUGAUUUACAACAUUGUACCUAUUUUGAAGUCCUUUGUGAUAGUACAAGGGACAGACAUGUCCUCAACCUCUCAUAGACUAGAUAGGGCGCCUUAGUUAGGGGUUGGAGUUGAUCGGAGCACUGCAGCAGGCCAAGGACAGAUGCACGUUGGCAAGAAAGCCCUGGGAUUCCAUCCACAAGAUCCCGUCACCCCUUUUCAACAUGAGUCACUCUUAUUUCCAUGAAAACUCACAGUAUGGUAAAGUGACCAUGUCAUCUACUUCUAAUUUCUCUGCAGGGAGUUCCCGUUGUGUCGUGGCAGAAACAAAUCCAACUAGCAUCCAUGAGGAUGGGGGUCAAUCCCUGGCCUCGCUCAGUGGCCAUAUACCCGAGCACGGUGAAGAUGACAAAUCCUGAAACGAAGCUCGUCAUGCAGUUCACCACACUGGUCACCAAGGCGUCUCUGGAGCAGAAAACCCAAGGGGACUGAGACAUUUCCAAGCUGGGAGUCUAGGGAGCAUCUGUCUGCAGCCAUGUCAAGGCUAGCAAAAGCCAGCAGGACUCCAAAGCCAGGCCCAAGAGAGAAGAAGAUCUGAGCAGCCGCAUCCACCCACACCUGCAGCAGAGCAGAGAUGCUAAAGUAGAUAAUGGUGAAGAUCAGCAUGAUGCAGAGGGCAAGCUGCCAGCUGAUGCCCCCCAGGUCCUGGAGUCCCUUAGACCGGUGGAUCUGCAGGACGUGGCGUCUGAGUGAAUGAGAAAGAAAGGCCCAUGACCUGGUCUGAACGGUCCCCUGCACAUGACGGUGCGACACCUCUGAGAGGACACCAAGAAGAAAAACGGUCAUCACACUGCAAGGACCAGGGGACGUUGAGUGGAGCAUCCAGGUGACGUUGUCCUCGGAGAAGUAGUUGGUGCAGUUGCCGGUGUUCCAGGAGUUCUUGCAGCUGGUCCAGGGCAGCUGGUCCGUGAAAGAGGAGAUGAGGUAGUAG